UGCAUAAACACUGAUGUGCAAUUAUGUCCAUGAUAUGUCAGUUUGGGGUCUUUUGGGUGAAUACUCAGGAGAAGCAUAGUUGAGCGAUAUGACACAUCUAUUUUUUUAAUUUUCUGGGGACCCUCCAUACUCAUUUCCAUAGAAUUUGGACUAGGUUACAGCCAUGUAUAACGAUCAGGAUUCCCCUUGUCCACACCUGUACCAGAAUUUAAUUUUUGUUACAUCUGUCUAUUUAUCUAUCAUCUUUCUAUUAUCUAUCUACCUUUCUAACUGUCUGUCUGUCUACCAAUUGCAUGUGUGUGACAGACAUGUGUAUGGGUUAGGGAACAGCUUAUGGGAAUUGGUCCUUUCUGUCCUUCUGCCUGUGGGUCUCAGGAAUCACACUCAGUUAGCCAGGCUUGCAGCAAGGGGCCUUUACUUCUGGACCGUCUUGCCAACCCCUGUUGCUUUGUUAAUGACUGACAUUCAGACUAGGGUAAUAUGUAAUGUCAAUGUGACUUUAAUUGGGCUUUCUGUGGUGACUGGUGAGAUUAAGCAGUUUCUCAUGGUUAUUGAUGACUUCUAUUCCCUCCUUCCUGAAUUCUCUAUUCCUUUCAUCAGUUCCUUUUUGGAGAGGGGGUUGCUGGUCAGUGUUUUAGUUCCUUGUGCACUCUACUUAAUCUCUCAG
rnacentral:lncRNA from 1 species